UACGUAGGUGGCAAGCGUUGUCCGGAUUUAUUGGGUUUAAAGGGUGCGUAGGUGGUCUAUUAAGUCAGUGCUGAAAUAUCCCGGCUUAACCGGGAGGGUGGCAUUGGUACUGAUGGACUUGAGUAGAGUUGAGGUAGGCGGAAUUGACGGUGUAGCGGUGAAAUGCUUAGAUAUCGUCAAGAACACCUAUUGCGAAGGCAGCUUACUAAGCUCUAACUGACACUGAGGCACGAAAGUGUGGGGAUCAAACAGG
rnacentral:rRNA from 1 species